ACUAAAAACCGAUUCAGUGGCUGACCCGGUGGCUUCAGCCUGAGUGUCUGGAGACCCUGAGCCACUCUUCUUUUGCGAGAGGGUCUAGCUGGUGCCUGCCUACCCUAGUAGCCACAACGGAGUUAGAUGCACCGGUAAAGCUGCAAACUUCCUUUUUUCUGGCUGCAAAAUUUGGCUUGCUUUAGCACUGAUGUUUCUUCUUGUUGUUCAGCACACACAGAUGGCAACCCUACUGCACAUGGGGACAGAGAUCCUGAGCGGCUCUUUCAUUGCCCAUUAAAGGGGUGGCUCUAAAGUUUCAAACACUCGGCACUCAGGACCUGCAAAAAGCUGCACGUCAGGACCAACUAAACGUCAGGAAACCUGGGGACAGGUGUGCUUUUUUGGAAGAGGGAAUGCAGCUCACACUUCCCAGGUGCAGCGAGCUUCUGUGCUGUUUUGGAAGCCAACCAAGGGAGUGGAAGUAGGAGAUAAGCUGAGGAUUAAUUUGUGGAUCCUGGGGGACGGACGUGGUACAGCGGAGCUGAAAUUCUGUUCACCAGCUCCAUUCAAACUUAGAAGCUUGCUUGGAUAAUUUUGCAGCGGAGGUUUUUAAGCAAGUUGCCCUUCAGCUCUGCUAUUUCCCCAUUCCCCACAGCUUUGAUGAAGUGGUUCGAGAAGGCAAAGCAGCAAAGUGGAUUUCCCCAGCCUCCGAUUUUGGUCACCGAAAAGGGUGAGAACCA